UACGAAGGGGGCUAGCGUUGCUCGGAAUCACUGGGCGUAAAGGGUGCGUAGGCGGGUUUUUAAGUCAGAGGUGAAAUCCUGGAGCUCAACUCCAGAACUGCCUUUGAUACUGGGAAUCUUGAGUAUGGAAGAGGUGAGUGGAACUGCGAGUGUAGAGGUGAAAUUCGUAGAUAUUCGCAAGAACACCAGUGGCGAAGGCGGCUCACUGGUCCAUAACUGACGCUGAGGCACGAAAGCGUGGGGGAGCAAACAGG
rnacentral:rRNA from 1 species